UACGUAGGGGUGCGAGCGUUGUCCGGAAUUAUUGGGCGUAAAGAGCUUGUAGGUGGUUUGUCGCGUCUGCUGUGAAAACCCGAGGCUCAACCUCGGGCCUGCAGUGGGUACGGGCAGACUAGAGUGCGGUAGGGGAGAAUGGAAUUCCUGGUGUAGCGGUGGAAUGCGCAGAUAUCAGGAGGACACCGAUGGCGAAGGCAGUUCUCUGGGCCGUAACUGACGCUGAGGAGCGAAAGCGUGGGAGCGAACAGG
rnacentral:rRNA from 1 species